GAUGAAGAACGCAGCGAAAUGCGAUAAGUAAUGUGAAUUGCAGAAUUCAGUGAAUCAUCGAAUCUUUGAACGCACAUUGCGCCCCCUGGUAUUCCGGGGGGCAUGCCUGUUCGAGCGUCAUUUCACCACUCAAGCCUCGCUUGGUAUUGGGCAACGCGGUCCGCCGCGUGCCUCAAAUCGACCGGCUGGGUCUUCUGUCCCCUAAGCGUUGUGGAAACUAUUCGCUAAAGGGUGUUCGGGAGGCUACGCCGUAAAACAACCUCAUUUCUAAGGUUGACCUCGGAUCAGGUAGGGAUACCCGCUGAACUUAAGCAUAUCAAUAAGCGGAGGA
rnacentral:misc_RNA from 1 species